UCAAAGGAGAUGGUGCGAUAACCACGGAU
rnacentral:sRNA from 1 species